rnacentral:rRNA from 1 species
AGCGAACGCUGGCGGCAGGCCUAACACAUGCAAGUCGAACGGACCCUUCGGGGUUAGUGGCGGACGGGUGAGUAACACGUGGGAACGUGCCUUUAGGUUCGGAAUAGCUCCUGGAAACGGGUGGUAAUGCCGAAUGUGCCCUUCGGGGGAAAGAUUUAUCGCCUUUAGAGCGGCCCGCGUCUGAUUAGCUAGUUGGUGAGGUAACGGCUCACCAAGGCGACGAUCAGUAGCUGGUCUGAGAGGAUGACCAGCCACACUGGGACUGAGACACGGCCCAGACUCCUACGGGAGGCAGCAGUGGGGAAUCUUGCGCAAGGGGCGAAAGCCUGACGCAGCCAUGCCGCGUGAAUGAUGAAGGUCUUAGGAUUGUAAAAUUCUUUCACCGGGGACGAUAAUGACGGUACCCGGAGAAGAAGCCCCGGCUAACUUCGUG